AAAGAGCCUAAAACAAAUGAGAAAUGUUUGUGUUUUAAGGUUUGUGUGUUUCUACCGAUAUAGUGUUAGAAUUUAAUUAACCAUGAAUUAAUUAAGAAGAAUCUAUGCUAACCAUCGUGUCGUUUCCUUUGUUCUUAUUGAUCACAACGAUACAUUGCCAUCUCCUGCACGGCCCGACCGGUCCGCCAAGGCCCGUUUCAAAAAUCCAGUGCUUAGGCCAGACGGGCUUGUCCAUGGGUUGGGCUUAGGUCUGAGUUUUGAGCCUGCUAGCAUGGUUCGGUUGGACUUGGGUUUGGUAUAUUAAGAUUUUAAGAAAAAGGUCUCGCCUCCGGCUGUACGCCCGACAUGUUUUUCAAC
rnacentral:lncRNA from 1 species